rnacentral:rRNA from 1 species
UACGUAGGGUGCGAGCGUUAAUCGGAAUUACUGGGCGUAAAGCGUGCGCAGGCGGUUUUGUAAGUCAGAUGUGAAAUCCCCGGGCUUAACCUGGGAACUGCGUUUGAAACUACAAGGCUAGAGUGUGGCAGAGGGGGGUGGAAUUCCACGUGUAGCAGUGAAAUGCGUAGAGAUGUGGAGGAACACCGAUGGCGAAGGCAGCCCCCUGGGUUAACACUGACGCUGAGGCACGAAAGCGUGGGGAGCAAACAGG